rnacentral:rRNA from 1 species
UGGGGAAUUUUGGACAAUGGGCGAAAGCCUGAUCCAGCAAUGCCGCGUGUGUGAAGAAGGCCUUCGGGUCGUAAAGCACUUUUGUCCGGAAAGAAAUCCUUGGCUCUAAUACAGUCGGGGGAUGACGGUACCGGAAGAAUAAGCACCGGCUAACUACGUGCCAGCAGCCGCGGUAAUACGUAGGGUGCAAGCGUUAAUCGGAAUUACUGGGCGUAAAGCGUGCGCAGGCGGUUUGCUAAGACCGAUGUGAAAUCCCCCGGGCUCAACCUGGGAACUGCAUUGGUGACUGGCAGGCUAGAGUAUGGCAGAGGGGGGUAGAAUUCCACGUGUAGCAGUGAAAUGCGUAGAGAUGUGGAGGAAUACCGAUGGCGAAGGCAGCCCCCCUGGGCCAAAUACUGACGCUCAUGCACGAAAGCGUGGGGAGCAAACAGGAUUAGAUACCCUGGUAGUCCACGCCCUAAACGAUGUCAACUAGUUGUUGGGGAUUCAUUUCCUUAGUAACGUAGCUAACGCGUGAAGUUGACCGCC